UCUGUGCUUUUACGGAUGUACGUAAAGUUCCAAGUUUUAAACGCAAUCUUACGCAGGAUGGGCACAUGGGAUUGCUACUGCUGUAUCCUCGAGUGAAGGGUCAGAGGGCACCAGGUCGUAGUAGGGCAGCUGAUAUUCUUCAAGGAUACCUGUUAGCACAGGACAACAGUUGAGAUGGCAAUUUGAGGUCGAUGCUGUUGCAGUAGUCAGUGUAGCAGCAGUGGAUGUUGACAAGGCCCUCCGCACUGAGACAGUAGAAGGGGUGUCCAGGAGGUUCAAGUUGGUCUCUGGUGAUGCAAGUACGAACGUGCUGCUCUUGACCAUCGAUGAGGGACAUGGAGGCCAUGCAAGCUCCGUCCGUCUCACACCAAAAGCCCCUUCUCUCACAUUGCGCAGUGGUACAGUUACACAGAAGAGCUAUGUAGAAAGAUGGAGGCAUGAUUAAAGGCUGAAGCGCCCAAGAGAGUCACAAGAUAUGCCUGAAAAGUCAAACAAAACUUUGGAAUUCAAACCAUCAUUAUGUGU